AUUUCUGCUCAAUGAUGUGUUAAAUAGCCGCAGUACUCUGACUGUGCAAAGGUAGCAUAAUCAGUUGGCUCCUAAAUAGAGUCUGGAAUGAAUGAAUAUAUGAAGAACAGCUAUCUUAAAAUAUUUAUAUGAAAUUGGUUGUAGGUGAAAAUCCCUACAUACUUCUAAAAGACGAGAAGACCCUAGAAACUUAUAUAAUUGUUUUGUUGGGGCGACAAAUUUACAUAAAAACUAAUUUUUAAUUAACAUGGCGAUUUCAGAUAGAUAAAGUUACUCUAGGGAUAACAGCAUAAUAUUUUUUGUUUGUGACCUCGAUGUUGGACUAGGUAAAGUAUUCUUUAGAAGAGAAUAUAUAUGCUCUGUUCGAGCACAAGAACCU
rnacentral:rRNA from 1 species